rnacentral:rRNA from 1 species
CCCUUAGAUGUCCUGGGCUGCACGCGCGCUACACUGAUGUGUCCAGUAAGCACCUAACCUCUUCCGAAAGGAACGGGUAACCUUUGCAAAGCACAUCGUGAUGGGGAUAGAUUAUUGCAAUUAUUAGUCUUGAACGAGGAAUUCCUAGUAAGCACAAGUCAUCAGCUUGUGUUGAUUACGUCCCUGCCCUUUGUACACACCGCCCGUCGCUCCUACCGAUUGAAUGUUCCGGUGAGCUCUUCGGACUGCGCGGUCUGCAGUUUCUGCGUUCCCUGCGGAAAGUUGCGCAAACCUUAACAUUUAGAGGAAGGAGAAGUCGUAACA